rnacentral:tRNA from 1 species
AAGGCUUUAGCUUAAUUAAAGUGUCUGAGUUGCAUUUAGAAGAUAUGGGAUGAAAGUCUUGUAAGUCUUA